CAUGUCAACGUGAACGCCAGUAUGAGUUCGUCUGUUGUGGGGCAUGUUGCUCGUGGUUUUCUUCAUAACUUCGCGUUCUUACAGUAUAAACAACCCUGUUUGUACUUGCUUCCCCGUUAAAUUGAAGUAUUGUACCGUGAUUUAACCGUUUUAUAUAUUAUAUAUUCUUAAAAUAGACGUUGUUGUCUAGACUUCGAGACGCUAACAUUGUGCACACACGCACUGGACUUUGUUUUCGCCGGCAUUGAAGAUGUACCAUUUAACCCCGGACUUAACCAGCUCAAAGGAAUGCACUGGAAUGAUCCUAACACACAUUGAUUGUAAGAAUUUUGAGCAUUCUGCGUUAUAUUCUCGUCCGAAGGUGGUCUUCUAACCCGGCUAUCAGUUGUGGUGUCCACCUUGUCCAUUUCCAGUCGUCUGCGUGCUCACUGCGAUAAAAGCGUAAGGAACUCCUUGAUGCAAUACUUCGGUGGAACAUACACUCGAGAAUCGCUUGACAUUCGAUGUGAUGUCAUCUCAUCGGCUUUGCUACGACAUCAACCAAAAGGGACAUCAAAUGGACUAUAUUGCGUGAAGACCACCUGAGUUUCGACGGGACGCGAUAUCUCUAUAAUUUGUUGCUUAUCUUGCAAUCACUUCUUGCGCCCCCACAUCAUUUUUCAAACCAGUACAAAUAAUGCGCACAGGGAAGGGCACAAGAAAAACUUCCCGACUGUUAAACCACGAACGCAUUCUUUUAUUUCACUUAUAAUUAGAAUUGUAUAUAUUUAGGGAUCUUUGACAAUCAAUUUGAUGAAUGCUUGUGGAAUAAUAUGCAAAGUACUCUUCAUAACGAUACUUACAAAAAUUAGCUGAUUUAAGGACGGAUUUUGCCCAUCCAGUUAUUUGCUACAAAAUAAUCCUUUUGUACAUAUUUUUACGUCGUUAUAAAAAAGGUUAUCAAGAGUUUAUUCAAGGGUUGUAUUCGUGUGUUGUAGAAGUUCGAGCUGCAACGCGCAAAAAUUUGCAUAGAAGAGUGAUUUUUUAAUCCUUUUCCGUGAAAUGUUUGUAUUUUUUCGGGUUUGCACGCGAUCUAGGCGGCGUAUUAACUUUCGCGCGGCAUCAAUAAUUGCGGAAUUAAAUUCUCCGUCGGGUGGUAUUUGUUUGUUGUCGGAAUUCGAGCUGCAACACGCGAAAAUUUGAAUAGAACGGUGAUUUUUUAACCCUUCUCCGUGAAAUGUUUGUAUUUUUUCGGGUUUGCACGCUAUCUAGGCGGCGUAUUAACUUCAGCGCGGUGUCUAGAAAUGCGGAAUUAAAUUCUCCGUCGGGUUGUAUUCGGUUGUUGUAGAAAUUUGAGUUGAAACACGCAAAAAUUUGUAUAGAAGGGUGACUUUUAACCCUUUUCUGUGCAAUACGUGUAUUUUUUCGGGUUUGCACGCGAUCUAGGCGGCGUAUUAACUUUAGCACGCCGUCUAGAGAUGCGGAAUUAAAUUCUCAGUUGGGUUGUAUUUGUUUGUUGUCGGAAUUCGAGCUGCAACACGCGAAAAUUGAAUAGAACAGUGAUUUUUUAACCCUUUUCCGUGAAAUGUUUGUAUUUUUCGGGUUUGCACGCGAUCUAUGAGGCUAUUUUCUUCAGCGCGGCGUCUGGAGACGCGGAAUUAAAUUCUCCGUCGGGUUGUAUUCAUGUGUUGUAUAAAUUAGAACUGCUACGCGCAAAAAUUUGCAUAAAAGGGUGAUUUUUUAACCCUUUUCGUGAAAUGUUUGUAUUUUUUUGUGUUUGCGCGCGAUUUAGGGGGCUCACUAACUUCAGCGCGGUGUCUAGAGAUGCGGAAUUAAAUUCUCCGUUGUGUUGUAUUUGUUUGUUGCAGGAAUUCGACCUGCAACCCGCCGAUACUUUGCAUAAAAGGGUGAUUUUUAUCAUCCUUUUCGUGAAAUGUUUGUAUUUUUCGUGCUAGCGCGCGACCUAGGCGGCUCACGAACUUUAGCGCGGCGUCUAGAGAUGCGGAAUUAAAUUCUUUGUCGAGUUGUAUUUAUUUGUUUCAAGAAUUCGACCUGCAACCCGCGAAAAGAUGCACAAAAUGGUGAUUUUUUCACCCUUUUUGUGAAGUAUUUGUAUUUUUUUGGGUUUGUGCGCGACUUUGGCGGCUUAGAAACUUCCGCGUGGCAUCUAGAGAUGCGGAAUUAAAUUCUCCGUCGGGUUUUAUUUGUUUAUUGUAGGGAUAAUUUAUAUGACGCUACACAUGGUGGGCGAGUGUUGAAGAUGACCCCCGGAUUAUCGCUUUUUUUUUUAAUUUUAUUUGUUUCAGAAAAUGGUCUCCAUCUUGCAAUUAAUUAGCUGUAGUUGGGAGCGCCGUAGAAAUACUGCCUAGUGAGCUAGUUGUGACAAUACUGUUAUCCAGGUAUAGUUUUGAUACACGAAUAUUUGUAUGUAAACAAUUUUUGUUGAGCCUAUCGCAAUAGCAACACCGCAUGACCGCGUGGUCGUUUCAGAGCGCGCAUUCAGUUACAUUCCGGUUGCCGAGCGAAGCACGCGUAUUCAUCGCGACUAGUUUUAUUUCUCCCUAUUAUAAAUUGAUCGUAAAUCGUUAUAUUCAAUAAGCAAUCGACGAUAUGUAUUAGAAUUACGCGUGAACGGAAUUUCGCCUGAUAAUAAGCACGAGUGAACUGUCGGUCGUCGGGGAUUAUUUUUCGCGUGUAGAUUAUACUUGACUCGUGUUGGCCUGCAUGCGCACGGCGUGCGUGUCCGUCCACUGUCGGUUAUCACCCAGAAUAACUUGGAUUUAUGUUUAAUUCGAAUAAGUAGACAACGGAUGUGCCCGGAGAAGAAGUUUACACUUACAAGGGCCCUGGAGUUCCGAAUAUUCAUCGCAGAAGAGAUACAAAUGUGCGCAUAUUUUAAGGCAAGGCGUCCGCGGCAUUUAAUAGUUGUCAAUAUUUUUCUAUAUAAAAAAUGUUUGUUUUUGUAAAUGUUGUUAAUAAAAUAAAAUUAAUAUAAAUUAA